GAUGAACGCUGGCGGCGUGCCUAAUACAUGCAAGUCGAGCGAACAGACGAGGAGCUUGCUCCUCUGACGUUAGCGGCGGACGGGUGAGUAACACGUGGAUAACCUACCUAUAAGACUGGGAUAACUUCGGGAAACCGGAUCUAAUACCGGAUAAUAUAUUGAACCGCAUGGUUCAAUAGUUAAAGACGGUUUUGCUGUCACUUAUAGAUUGAUCCGCGCCGCAUUAGCUAGUUGGUAAGGUAACGGCUUACCAAGGCAACGAUGCGUAGCCGACCUGAGAGGGUGAUCGGCCACACUGGAACUGAGACACGGUCCAGACUCCUACGGGAGGCAGCAGUAGGGAAUCUUCCGCAAUGGGCGAAAGCUUGACGGAGCAACGCCGCGUGAGUGAUGAAGGUCUUCGGAUCGUAAAACUCUGUUAUUAGGGAAGAACAAAUGUGUAAGUAACUAUGCACGUCUUGACGGUACCUAAUCAGAAAGCCACGGCUAACUACGUG
rnacentral:rRNA from 1 species